AGUGAACGCUGGCGGUAGGCCUAACACAUGCAAGUCGAACGGCAGCACAGUAAGAGCUUGCUCUUACGGGUGGCGAGUGGCGGACGGGUGAGGAAUACAUCGGAAUCUACUUUUUCGUGGGGGAUAACGUAGGGAAACUUACGCUAAUACCGCAUACGACCUACGGGUGAAAGCAGGGGAUCUUCGGACCUUGCGCGAUUGAAUGAGCCGAUGUCGGAUUAGCUAGUUGGCGGGGUAAGGGCCCACCAAGGCGACGAUCCGUAGCUGGUCUGAGAGGAUGAUCAGCCACACUGGAACUGAGACACGGUCCAGACUCCUACGGGAGGCAGCAGUGGGGAAUAUUGGACAGUGGGCGCAAGCCUGAUCCAGCCAUACCGCGUGGGUGAAGAAGGCCUUCGGGUUGUAAAGCCCUUUUGUUGGGAAAGAAAAGCAGCAGGUUAAUACCCCGCUGUUCUGACGGUACCCAAAGAAUAAGCACCGGCUAACUUCGU
rnacentral:rRNA from 1 species